UACGGAGGGGGCAAGCGUUGUUCGGAAUCACUGGGCGUAAAGGGCGCGUAGGCGGUUGAUCAAGUCAGAAGUGAAAGGCACGGGCUCAACCUGUGGACUGCUUUUGAAACUGAUCGACUGGAGACCGGCAGAGGGUGACGGAAUUCCCCGUGUAGAGGUGAAAUUCGUAGAUAUGGGGAGGAACACCAGAGGCGAAGGCGGUUGCCUGGACCGGUUCUGACGCUGAGGCGCGAAAGCGUGGGGAGCAAACAGG
rnacentral:rRNA from 1 species